rnacentral:tRNA from 1 species
GUCUCGGUAGUCUAAAGGCUUAGGACGCUCGCACGGAAUGCAAGAGAUCCUGGUUCGACUCCCGGCCGAGGCA